GAUGAACGCUGGCGGCGUGCCUAAUACAUGCAAGUCGAGCGAACAGACGAGGAGCUUGCUCCUCUGACGUUAGCGGCGGACGGGUGAGUAACACGUGGAUAACCUACCUAUAAGACUGGGAUAACUUCGGGAAACCGGAGCUAAUACCGGAUAAUAUAUUGAACCGCAUGGUUCAAUAGUGAAAGACGGUUUUGCUGUCACUUAUAGAUGGAUCCGCGCCGGAUUAGCUAGUUGGUAAGGUAACGGCUUACCAAGGCGACGAUGCGUAGCCGACCUGAGAGGGUGAUCGGCCACACUGGAACUGAGACACGGUCCAGACUCCUACGGGAGGCAGCAGUAGGGAAUCUUCCGCAAUGGGCGAAAGCCUGACGGAGCAACGCCGCGUGAGUGAUGAAGGUCUUCGGAUCGUAAAACUCUGUUAUUAGGGAAGAACAAAUGUGUAAGUAACUAUGCACGUCUUGACGGUACCUAAUCAGAAAGCCACGGCUAAAUACGUG
rnacentral:rRNA from 1 species